rnacentral:rRNA from 1 species
AGCUCCAAUAGCGUAUGUUAAAGUUGUUGCGGUUAAAAAGCUCGUAGUUGGAUUUCUAUCGAUGUUAGCCGGUCCACUCUCCGAGUGUGUAUCUGGUUUGACGUUGGUAUCCUAUCGUUUUUCGUUGCUGUGCUUAACUGCAUGGUGCGGGAUACGGUACUUUUACUUUGAGGAAAAUGGAUCGUUCACGGAAGGCAUUCGCCUUGAACAAUUUAGCAUGGAAUAAUAAUAUAGGAUCUUGUGUCUUUUUUGUUGGUUUCAAGUGCGCGAGAUAAUGAUUAAUAGGGACGGUUGGGGGCAUUGGUAUUAACGUGUCAGAGGUGGAAUUCUUGGAUUACGUUACGACCAACUACUGCGAAAGCAUCUGCCAAAGACGUUUUCA